UGUGUGUGUGUGUGUGAGAGAGAAUGCACCGCUUGUGUAAGCUACGGAAUGCACUCUCCUCACGCUUGACCUCUGACCCCGACUGUCCCGGCAGCACCACUCCAGUCCAUGACCCGGCGGAACCGGCGGAACCGCAGAGCAGACCAGACGUUCCGUCACGGAACCGACCGCCCGGUCCUACUCCACAACAGAGGGGGGCGCCACCAGCAUCUGACAACAGCAGAUCUCUCUCUACUGACAGCACUGAUGACUAUGAGGACCCUGACCUUCAAACAGUGAGGAGCCCGUAGAUAUGGCUGACAAGGACGGCUUCCUGUCGGUUCCGCAGCGGAGGAUUCGCCGGAGCAGCCUGUACAGUGAUGAUGAAUUCCUGGACGAGGACGCUGACACCCCGUCCUCACCAA